rnacentral:rRNA from 1 species
UACAUAGGUGGCGAGCGUUGUCCGGAUUUACUGGGCGUAAAGAGCGCGCAGGCGGUCGAUCAAGUCGGGUGUGAAAGCCCCGGCUCAACCUGGGAAUUGCAUUCGAGACUGAAUAGCUAGGGUACGGUAGAGGGAAGCGGAAUUUCCGGUGUAGCGGUGAAAUGCGUAGAUAUCGGAAGGAACAUCAGUGGCGAAAGCGGCUUCCUGGACCAG